UACGAAGGGUGCAAGCGUUACUCGGAAUUACUGGGCGUAAAGGGUGCGUAGGUGGUUUUUAAGUCCGUUGUGAAAUCCCUGGGCUCAACCUGGGAAUGGCAGUGGAUACUGGAAAGCUAGAGUGCGGUAGGAGGGUAGUGGAAGUUCCCGGUGUAGCAGUGAAAUGCGUAGAGAAUCGGGAGGAACACCAGUGGCGGAAGGCGG
rnacentral:rRNA from 1 species